rnacentral:lncRNA from 1 species
CUCGGCCGCCGGACCCCGAGCCCCAGGAGCGCCCGGGCAGCCGAGCGUAAUUGGAUUGUAUCCGGCCGCGCGCUGUCACCGUAUUGACUUUCGCGCUCGAGAUGAUAUUAUCGAGGUUCGGAAGCUCGCGGCUCAUGUGCCUGUCAAAAGGCUGCGGCGGGAGCCCCCGGCCUGGCGAGCGAGCAUCAGCCAAGGUCCUGGAGGAUACGUUGGAGUCUCUGGGUCUUCCCCUAGCUCUGUGAACACGUGACCCGGAAGGAGGCAGUGGGGACGCCCAGGACUGGAGAACUUCAAGGUUUAGGGGUGACACCGCUUCCUGCUUGGCAAAGAAAUUCAAGGUUUAGGGGUGACACCGCUUCCUGCUUGGCAAAGAAAUUCAAGGCUUAGGGGUGACGCCGCUUCUUGCUUGUCACUUGCAUACUGAAAAUUGGUUGUCUGCUCAGUGAGACAUGGGGGCCAUCCGAGGCCCCUGCGGUGUGGCACAGCCCCUGAGACCACUCCAGGGACCAUAGCAAGGGCCCUGGACACAGCAGGAUGCACCAGAUUCCCCGGCCAGAACAAGGGCUGAGCUUCGAGUGAAAGGCGGGGCCUGGACGUUGGCUGUGGUUUGCAGGGAGGACGGCAUGGCAGGCGUCCCACUCUGUGC